UACAUACUCUAAAAUUACAGCUCCAAAAUUUUUGUGUUUGACUAUAGCAAAAAGUCAGAUAGAUGUCUACAGCGAACGUUCAACGUCGGAUUAGCGAGGUAAAUAGCGCAAUUACUCUCCAUUGCCAUUGCACGUUACUUAUGCAAACUGGAAGAUUCAAGAUGCGUAUUGACUUUUAUUAAGCAAUCGAAUGGAACAAGAAAUAACAGUCUCGAAAGAUAAAUUUCGAUUAAAUAAUUAAUAAUUUUCCGGUUAUUUCGAGCUUGGUGCAAUUCAAAUACGCUAUUUUCAAUGACAACACAUGAAAUGUUUACAUUUACUGAAUUUCUGACUGAGGCAUGGACAAAAUUAAUUUUUGCAUUAAUCUUCUGAUACUGAGGUAACAAAAAGCGGAUUUAAAUUGGUUUUGGUUACGGAGGAUUUUGCGGAAUUAACUAUAAAAACUAUUAGAAAAUUGUAUUCCAUGUGAGUAUUCGGACGUCGCAACUGAAAGUUAUAUAUAGUGAAACAAACUUCCUUCCGCAGGAAUUGCGAUUCACAUCUGCACAUGUAUCAGAAUGCGUACGCAUUGUAUCCAUCGUUUCUAUAAAGUUGGAGAUGAAAUUUGAAGCUGAAACAGCUAUUGGCAUUGCAUCGUGCAAUAUAUAGCGAUACUACUGCACCACAGUUUGUUUUUUAUGAAAUCUUGCAGAUUUAGAUGAUGUCAAAAUAAAAACACGUUUGGAUUACUUGCGCGCAA